AAGAACUCUGGAAUGAGUCUUUGCUUAAAAGAGGCUGGGGUUAUGCUCUCCAGUUUCGCCCAAGGAUGGGGCCGCGGCCGAUCAGGUUGUUGGUGAGGUAAUGGCUCACCAAGCCUUUUACCGGUGCGGGCCGUGGGAGCGGGAGCCCGGAGAUGGGCACUGAGACAAGGGCCCAGGCCCUACGGGGCGCAGCAGUCGCGAAAACUUUGCAAUAAGCGAAAGCUUGACAGGGCUAUCCCGAGUGCCAUCCGCUGAGGAAGGCUUUUACCCAGUCUAGAACGCUGGGGGAAUAAGGAGAGGGCAAGUCUGGUGUCAGCCGCCGCGGUAAUACCAGCUCUCCGAGUGGUGUGGAUGUUUAUUGGGCCUAAAGCAUCCGUAGCUGGCUAGGUUAGUCCCCUGUUAAAUCCACCGAAUUAAUCGUUGGAUUGCGGGGGAUACUACUUGGCUAGGGGACGAGAGAGGCAGACGGUAUUUCCGGGGUAGGGGUGAAAUCCUAUAAUCCCGGGAAGACCACCAGUGGCGAAGGCUGUCUGCUAGAACGCGCCCGACGGUGAGGGAUGAAAGCUGGGGGAGCGAACCGGAUUAGAUACCCGGGUAGUCCCAGCUGUAAACGAUGCAGACUAGGUGUUUGGACGGCCACGUGCCGUUCUAGUGCCGCAGGGAAGCUGUUAAGUCUGCCGCCUGGGGAGUACGAUCGCAAGAUUGAAACUUAAAGGAAUUGGCGGGGGAGCACCACAAGGGGUGAAGCUU
rnacentral:rRNA from 1 species